GAAAGAAAGAAAGAGGAUGAGUGGGGAAAACUGUGGUAUUGUAGCUUGUGUGUGUGUGUGUGUGGUUGUGUGUUAGAGCGAGAGAGAG